rnacentral:rRNA from 1 species
GAUGAACGCUGGCGGCGUGCCUAAUACAUGCAAGUCGAGCGAACAGACGAGGAGCUUGCUCCUCUGACGUUAGCGGCGGACGGGUGAGUAACACGUGGAUAACCUACCUAUAAGACUGGGAUAACUUCGGGAAACCGGAGCUAAUACCGGAUAACAUGUUGAACCGCAUGGUUCAACAGUGAAAGACGGUCUUGCUGUCACUUAUAGAUGGAUCCGCGCCGCAUUAGCUAGUUGGUAAGGUAACGGCUUACCAAGGCAACGAUGCGUAGCCGACCUGAGAGGGUGAUCGGCCACACUGGAACUGAGACACGGUCCAGACUCCUACGGGAGGCAGCAGUAGGGAAUCUUCCGCAAUGGGCGAAAGCCUGACGGAGCAGCGCCGCGUGAGUGAUGAAGGUCUUCGGAUCGUAAAACUCUGUUAUUAGGGAAGAACAAAUGUGUAAGUAACUAUGCACGUCUUGACGGUACCUAAUCAGAAAGCCACGGCUAACUACGUG